rnacentral:lncRNA from 1 species
UAUAGUUCAAUAUUGCACCACCACAUUCAAUACAAAAUUCAGUACAGUAUUAUAUUUCAAAGUCUGGCCAUAUUGAAGUUACCUAAAAGGCAAGGAAGCAAAGUCUUUCAUCACCCUCAUUGUGAAUGUAACAGACUUUCAAAGGAAAACUGCCUCUGUUUCUGAUAGUUCAUUCCCAUUUCACAAAGAUGUGUCGGGAUCAGCCCGUGUCCCUGCCCUCGCAUGCACUGCUUCCCCGACUGAAUCUACUUUCCUGCUUUCACGCGCAAGCCUGAGCCUGGACUUCCCCAGGGACUGGAAGUUGCUUCAGUAGAAAAUAUAUUAAGAUGCUUCUUUGUUAAGGCAGAUGGUUUUCUUCCUGCCGAAGCUGUCUUACUUCUGCUGCCUCAUGCCUGUUUCUUCACUCCAUAGUUAGGUUUCUUGGCCCUAAGAUGAUAGCUGCAAAUAACUGCUGGUCUGCUCCAUGUGUUUUCUCCAUCAUGGAAUCCAGCCUGAAGGUGAAGCUCCUGUCUCCCACAUU